CCUACGGGUGGCAGCAGUGGGGAAUAUUGCACAAUGGGGGAAACCCUGAUGCAGCAACGCCGCGUGAGUGAAUAAGUAUUUCGGUAUGUAAAGCUCUAUCAGCAGGGAAGAAAAUGACAGUACCUGACUAAGAAGCGCCGGCUAACUACGUGCCAGCAGCCGCGGGAAUCAGUAGGGGGCAAGCGUUAUCCGGGUUUAAUGGGUGGAAAGGGAGCGUAGACGGCGGCGUAAGGCAGACGUGAAAGCCCGGGGGUGAACCGCGGGACUGCUUUUGAAACUGUGUAGCUAGAGUGCAGGAGAGGUAAGUGGAAUGCCUGGUGUAGCGGUGAAAUGCGUAGAUAUUAGGAGGAACACCGGUGGCGAAGGCGGCUUACUGGAGUGUAACUGACGUUGAGGCACGAAAGCGUGGGGAGCAAACAGGAUUAGAUACCCGAGUAGUC
rnacentral:rRNA from 1 species